AGCCGCAAUUCGUGCUAAGGUAGCAUAAUCAUUUGUCUUUUAAAUGAAGACUAGAACAAAAGAUUUAACAUUUCAAUAUAUUUAUUUUAUAUAUUAAUAUAAAUUUUUUAAUACGUAAAAAAACGUAUAUAAAAUAGAAAGACGAUAAGACCCUAUAGAACUUAACUACAGUUAAACUGGGGAAGUAAAUUAAUUAUUAUUUUAAUUAUAUAUAAAUAUAAAAUAGCUAAUAUAUUUAAAUAAUUCAGUUACCUUAGGGAUAACAGCGCAAUUUUCUUUUAAAGUUCUUAUAUAAAAAAUAUUUUACGACCUCGAUGUUGAAUUAAUUACCUAAUAUUUUAAAGCAAAUUUUAAUAAAGGAAGUCUGUUCGACUUUUAAACAAUUACAUGAUUUGAGUUCAGACCGGKGUAAGCCAGGKCGGUUUCUAUCUUCUAUAUUAAUUUUNNNNNNCGAAAGGACCUAAAGAUAUUUUAUAAUUAAUUGGCMGAUUAAUGCMUUAGAAUUAGAAUCUAAUCAAACUAAU
rnacentral:rRNA from 1 species